rnacentral:pre_miRNA from 14 species
UGUGUGUGUGUGCGUGUGUGUGUGUGUGUGUGUGCAGGCCCUGAGGUGCAGUGUGUAAGAGACAGAGGUGAUAAGAGCAUACAUAGUCACACACACACACACACACACACACACACACA